rnacentral:rRNA from 1 species
UUGAACGCUGGCGGCAUGCCUUACACAUGCAAGUCGAACGGCUAGCACGGAGCUUGCUCUGGUGGCGAGUGGCGAACGGGUGAGUAAUAUAUCGGAACGUACCCUGGAGUGGGGGAUAACGUAGCGAAAGUUACGCUAAUACCGCAUACGAUCUACGGAUGAAAGUGGGGGAUCGCAAGACCUCAUGCUCGUGGAGCGGCCGAUAUCUGAUUAGCUAGUUGGCGGGGUAAGAGCCCACCAAGGCAUCGAUCAGUAGCUGGUCUGAGAGGACGACCAGCCACACUGGAACUGAGACACGGUCCAGACUCCUACGGGAUGGCAGCAGUGGGGAAUUUUGGACCAAUGGGCGCAAGCCUGAUCCAGCAAUGCCGCGUGAGUGAAGAAGGCCUUCGGGUUGUAAAGCUCUUUUGUCAGGAAGAAACGGCGUUUUCUAAUACAGAAUGCUAAUGACGGUACCUGAAGAAUAAUAGCACCGGCUAACUACGUGCCAGCAGCCGCGGUAAUACGUAGGGUGCAUAGCGUUAAUCGGAAUUAUACUGGGCGUAAAGCUGUGCGCAGGCGGUUUUGUAAGUCUGUCGUGAAAUCCCCGGGCUCAACCUGGGAAUGGCGAUGGAGACUGCAAGGCUAGAGUUUGGCAGAGGGGGGUAGAAUUCCACGUGUAGCAGUGAAAUGCGUAGAUAUGUGGAGGAACCACCGAUGGCGAAGGCAGCCCCCUGGGUCAAUAAACUGAACGCUCAUGCACGAAAGCGUGGGAGAGCAAACAGGAUUAGAUACCCUGGUAGUCCACGCCCUAAACGAUGUCUACUAGUUGUCGGGUCUUAAUUGACUUGGUAACGCAGCUAACGCGUGAAGUAGACCGCCUGGGGAGUACGGUCGCAAGAUUAAAACUCAAAGGAAUUGACGGGGACCCGCACAAGCGGUGGAUGAUGUGGAUUAAUUCGAUGCAACGCGAAAAACCUUACCUACCCAUUGACAUGGACGGAAUCCUUGAGAGAUCGAGGAGUGCUCGAAAGAGAGCCGUCACACAGGUGCUGCAUGGCUGUCGUCAGCUCGUGUCGUGAGAUGUUGGGUUAAGUCCCGCAACGAGCGCAACCCUUGUCAUUAGUUGCUACGAAAGGGCACUCUAAUGAGACUGCCGGUGACAAACCGGAGGAAGGUGGGGAUGACGUCAAGUCCUCAUGGCCCUUAUGGGUAGGGCUUCACACGUCAUACAAUGGUACAUACAGAGGGCCGCCAACCCGCGAGGGGAGCUAAUCCCAGAAAGUGUAUCGUAGUCCGGAUUGUAGUCUGCAACUCGACUGCAUGAAGUUGGAAUCGCUAGUAAUCGCGGAUCAGCAUGUCGCGGUGAAUACGUUCCCGGGUCUUGUACACACCGCCCGUCACACCAUGGGAGCGGGUUUUACCAGAAGUAGGUAGCUUAACCGCAAGGGGGGCGCUUACCACGGUAGGAUUCGUGGCUGGGGUG